UGGGGAAUUUUGGACAAUGGGCGAAAGCCUGAUCCAGCAAUGCCGCGUGCAGGAUGAAGGCCUUCGGGUUGUAAACUGCUUUUGUACGGAACGAAAAGACUCUGGUUAAUACCUGGGGUUCAUGACGGUACCGUAAGAAUAAGCACCGGCUAACUACGUGCCAGCAGCCGCGGUAAUACGGAGGUUGCAAGCGUUAAUCGGAAUUACUGGGCGUAAAGCGUGCGCAGGCGGUGAUGUAAGACAGAUGUGAAAUCCCCGGGCUCAACCUGGGAACUGCAUUAGUGACUGCAUGGCUGGAGGGCGGCAGAGGGGGAUGGAAUUCCGCGUGUAGCAGUGAAAGGCGUAGAUAUGCGGAGGAACACCGAUGGCGAAGGCAAUCCCCUGGGCCUGCACUGACGCUCAUGCACGAAAGCGUGGGGAGCAAACA
rnacentral:rRNA from 1 species